rnacentral:rRNA from 1 species
UAGGGAAUAUUGCAAAAUGGGCGAAAGCCCGAUGCAGCAACGCCGCGUGGGCGAUGAAGGCCUUCGGGUCGUAAAGCCCUUUUUGAGGGGAUGAGGAAGGACAGUACCCUCAGAAUAAGCCUCGGCUAACUACGUGCCAGCAGCCGCGGUAAAACGUAGGAGGCGAGCGUUAUCCGGAUUUACUGGGCGUAAAGCGCGUGCAGGCGGAUUGGAGAGUUGGAUGUGAAAGCUCCCGGCUUAACUGGGAGAGGUCGUUCAAUACUUCCAGUCUUGAGUGCAGUAGAGGGAAGUGGAAUUCCGGGCGUAGUGGUGAAAUGCGUAGAUAUCCGGAGGAACACCAGUGGCGAAAGCGGCUUCCUGGACUGUAACUGACGCUCAGACGCGAAAGCUAGGGUAGCAAACG